rnacentral:rRNA from 1 species
GCCAGACUCCUACGGGAGGCAGCAGUGGGGAAUAUUGCACAAUGGGGGGAACCCUGAUGCAGCGACGCCGCGUGGGUGAAGAAGUCAUUCGUGACGUAAAGCCCUAUCAGCAGGGAAGAAAAUGACGGUACCUGACUAAGAAGCCCCGGCUAACUACGUGCCAGCAGCCGCGGGAAUACGUAGGGGGCAAGCGUUAUCCGGAUUUACUGGGUGUAAAGGGGGCGCAGACGGCAGCGCAAGCCAGGAGUGAAAGCCCGGGGCCCAACCCCGGGACUGCUCUUGGAACUGCAUGGCUGGAGUACAGGAGGGGCAGGCGGAAUUCCUAGUGUAGCGGUGAAAUGCGUAGAUAUUAGGAGGAACCCCGGUGGCGAAGGCGGCCUGCUGGACUGUGACUGACGUUGAGGCCCGAAGGCGUGGGGAGCACACAGGAUUAGAUCCCCGCGUA